GUCCCGCUGGGAGAAAACGCUGCCGGGCGAGUCUGCGAAGCGUCGUGAUGGGGAUUCGUGCUGCGUCGCUGCGCAUUCCCUCGUAGGCUCUCCGGCACUGUAUAUACACUGAAAAGCGGGGACCGGAGGGUACGUGGGCCCUUGUCGACACACAAAUCGGUCACGACGCUGGACAUGGCCUGUGGAAGCAGGCCGAGGUCUAGGCAUCCUUGGGCGUCCGAACAGGCUGUUCGAGGGAAAGCCACCGGGUCUUCCGUUCUCGUUUGUGCACCGGCGAGAACUGGUAACGUGCGUUUCAUCAGCGAGAAGGGCGCACUGCCGUCCCCCAGUCCUCUCUGGAAGUCGCCGGGGACGGCCGCGACCGAGGGCGUCUCGGGGAGCUCGUCGGACGAGUACAAGAUUCGAGUCCAGGAGGAACGGCCUUGCGCGGUCUCCAGAGAAAGUCCGGUUUCGCGUUUCUGGCCCACGCCUUCUCCCACCGUGCUGGCCUUCUCGGGCCCGUCCGACAGAGUCGGGUCGGCCGGCGAGCGCCCAGGCGCUCUCGCGAUGCAAACCAGUCGAGUCUGUUCCCCUGCGCAACCUCCCUCGCAGCCCGACCCAGUGUGGAGGGCUGCCGGCGAGUCGAGCACGCCGCGGCGCGUUUCUGGACCGUCUGAAGCGCAGGGUUGGGCGUUCCGAGAUCCUGCGGACCCCCCGGGAGGGCCUGAAGGCGACAGGUUCCUCGACCGUUCCCUGUCUCGCUGGGCAGCGAAAGGGAAGGCGUCGAAAAAGCUUGCCGGGUGCGGCGGAGGCAGUAGGGCGCCGUCAAAGUCGCCAGGCGGCGAUAGCGCCCGGGCGGAGCGGCUCUUCGAGGGCGGGGACAGAAAGCGGAUUUGUUUGCUCAGGAAAGGCGAGACCUGCGCGCUCUCUCGCCUCGGCGAGCCGUGUGCCUGACGACACAGCGCGGCAGGACCCGACGUCUCGGGCGCCGGAGCGCACGUGUGAAGCGGAGACGCGCAAGGCGUCGCCAAGUCAGUCAGAGAAGACAUGCACAUGCCAGGCCGUUCGGCGCGGCCGGGGAAGGGGAGGGCCAUCUCGACCUGAAACGGAAGCAGUGAGUCCCGGUCUUCCUCCAGGUGAGGCGAGACUGAGGGAAACGCGGAGUUGGCCAUGUUGGGAAAAACUGCGCAGACUGCACGGCGACGCCCUCUCUGAGCCACUCCCCCUGUUCAGUGCUCGACGCAGUCAGCGAAAGAGCUGGAACCGCCUUCUUCAGGUCGGUCCGCGGGGCGCGUAGGAGACCAGACGUGCGAGAGUGGAGGAACGAGCAUAUCCUUUCGAAGCGGGAGAAUGCGAAGAUUUAGCGGUCGCCAGAAACGCCCUGUCUCUGUCGCACCGACGCCAAAGCGCGUUCUCUUGCAAGCCGAGGCUCUUCGGAGUCCGACGGACCGUUUCUACCUCGGUGUCCCCCGAACGUCAGAGACCCGGAGAGAGAGUUUGCGGCGCACUGAUCUGAGGGGGAGCGAGACCCGGGUCUUUUCCAAGUUCUGUCUCUUCGGCUUUUCCUUCCUUUUCUCCGACACGCGCAUGCGGCCCUUUUGGUGGCCGAUCCCUGGACUGGCGAGGCUGCUGGCUCUGCGGAGUGAGAGUGUGCGAGCGCGGUCGUCGGUUUUUGGCGCGCGUCCGUGUUCCCUGCGGCUGCAGCUCCGCCUGUGCUUUCCUGCUGGCCGUCGUCGACGCCGACGGCGCCCGAACCGCUACACCUGUUGACGGGGCGGGCGCGGUCACGGUGUGCUAGUCGUGCGGGAAGUCAUCGAGGCGCGAGUCCGAGGAAUCAGUCGGUGGGCGUGAUGGUGAAGGGGUGUGCAAAACACCGGCCGGCGCGUCACGUCCCAGCUUCACGAACCCUCCGAGGGUUUCGCGCGGCCGCGCGUUGCAGCAGACGCUCGGAGGUCUGUGGCACGAGCGUCCAGAAAAAAGGAGCGGCGCCUCAGCGGAACGCGCCUUUGAACCUGGGUGAUCCCAGCACGCCUGGCCCAGAGCACCCGCGAAGGCCCGCAAGUCGCGGGGGUCUGUCGACGAGAGCGAGAGAGGCAAAGUGGCGACAGGCGGCGACUCUCUCUGCAAGGCCAAAGCGAAGCGCAAGGCCUCCAGAGAAGAACGUUUCCGAAAGCGCACAGCGAACGAGAAUUCCACUUUCGGCCCCACGCGGGUGCUCUGCGUGGACGGCGCACAAGGGUCCGCCGUCACCUCCGUCGCGCGAGCUGUGGAAGACGCAGAAUCCGCACGGUCAUUUUUUCUAAAGCCGAGCGGCGCGAGGCCAGAAAAGGUGCACAAGGCGCUUCUAGACGCGUCGGCGACGCUCUCCGCGACGGAAGAACAAAGCACACCAACAGACCGCCGCCUCGACGCCGCGGACGGUAGGGGCCAUGACGAGCGCCGGGGGGGGGCCCGGGGCAGAGAAAAGUGGAGAAAGACACAAAGGAAGGGGACGGUCGAGAGAGUGUCUCUUUUUUGUGUCUAGAGAGAUGUCGGACGGAAGAAAGGCCAAAAAAGUGCCCCGGAGGAACGCAAGGCCGCGUCGAAGCGGGGACGAGGCUCUCAAGUCGCGUCAACGCCUCGCGCCCAUUUUUUUCACGCUGUGUGUGUGUGUGUACCAAAAACUCCGAGUCCCUCCUCAGACCCCGUGUUGGGCCCGACAGAGGUGUUACCCCCCUCUUGCACUCCCGGCGCCACCGUAUGCGGCUCCAGCGCCGCGCGAGGGGCCAUUUGCACUGCGGAAAGACACACUGGUGUGGACUCCCAGAGCCGCGCACGCGCGCUUUUGCGGAACCCUUCACGCUUUUUCUCCCGCGAC
rnacentral:lncRNA from 1 species